GACGAACGCUGGCGGCGUGCUUAACACAUGCAAGUCGAACGAAGAGCGAUGGAAGCUUGCUUCUAUCAAUCUUAGUGGCGAACGGGUGAGUAACGCGUAAUCAACCUGCCCUUCAGAGGGGGACAACAGUUGGAAACGACUGCUAAUACCGCAUACGAUCCAAUCUCGGCAUCGGGACUGGAUGAAAGGUGGCCUCUAUUUAUAAGCUAUCACUGAAGGAGGGGAUUGCGUCUGAUUAGCUAGUUGGAGGGGUAACGGCCCACCAAGGCGAUGAUCAGUAGCCGGUCUGAGAGGAUGAACGGCCACAUUGAGACUGAGACACGGCCCAGACUCCUACGGGAGGCAGCAGUGGGGAAUCUUCCGCAAUGGACGAAAGUCUGACGGAGCAACGCCGCGUGAGUGAUGACGGCCUUCGGGUUGUAAAGCUCUGUUAAUCGGGACGAAUGGUUCUUGUGCGAAUAGUGCGAGGAUUUGACGGUACCGUAAUAGAAAGCCACGGCUAACUACGUG
rnacentral:rRNA from 1 species